UACGAAGGGGGCUAGCGUUGCUCGGAAUCACUGGGCGUAAAGCGCACGUAGGCGGCUUUGUAAGUUAGAGGUGAAAGCCCAGAGCUCAACUCUGGAACUGCCUUUAAGACUGCAUCGCUUGAAUCAUGGAGAGGUCAGUGGAAUUCCGAGUGUAGAGGUGAAAUUCGUAGAUAUUCGGAAGAACACCAGUGGCGAAGGCGACUGACUGGACAUGUAUUGACGCUGAGGUGCGAAAGCGUGGGGAGCAAACAGG
rnacentral:rRNA from 1 species